rnacentral:lncRNA from 1 species
AUGAUGCUCCGCGGCACCCGGCGGGAUAGGGAGCCUUCUGCUGGCGGGACGGCGCACCGUGGGCAGGCAAGGAGCGCGCUGCUUCCCGGAGAUGGCGAGGAACAGUUCCAGAAAGACUCGAGAACCUUACAAAAGGAGCUCCAACAGACAUUCAGAGAGGAGAGCUAUCAUCAGGAGCCAUCACAGGAAAAGCAGUGCCAUUGUUACAGCCCACUCACUGGCCAUGCAGCCACUGUUUGUGCUAGCUGCAGCCUUUCUAAGUGUGGCAUAAACGGUGGAUAUCCUAUUACAAAUACCACACAAGCAGCACUGGUGCAGUUACAAGUUUUCAUCGUGCGUAUCUACUGUGGCUGUUGUCUCCUGAUGAUAAUAUGAGAUGAAGUAGCUGUCAAGACAUGUUGGGCAGACAUAUACAAAACUAAUGAUAUCUAAAGAUCCACAACAAAAAGGAAAAAUUUGGAAGGUCUUCAGUCAGCACCUAACAGCUGCAAAUUUUGCUUAGGAUGAAAUAAUGAACCCAUCUAAGGGUCUCUCUGUG